CUGGUACUUACCUUGUUUAACCUCUCAGAUCCAGAAAACACCCCUAGUCAUGCCCCAGAGUUGGCUGGGCCACGCAAAACUGGUUAAUGCCAGACAAACUCAAAAGACACCAACAGUUAAGUGAAAAUACUUGUUUUCAGGGCAAAUAGUCUUUCAAAUAACUUUCUUAUUAACCAGGUUCACGGAGAGAUGAAUUAAUAAUUUACCAAAAAAACAAAAAACGAAAGUUUAACUGAGCUGGAAUCCAAGUAAAAGAAGUGGGCAGUUCUGAGGCCAUUUCAUCCUUGCUGUGGCUAAAACUUUUACCAGGUGAGGCCCUGGAGGCUGGACUGCAUCCACAGAUUUCUGCUCAGCCAGAGACAGAGCUCUCCAAGGCCACACAGCUAAGAAGCAGCUGGUUGGGAAUGGAGCCUGAGUCCUGGACUCCCAAGAACCUCCGACCUUCCAGAUGUGGCUGACCACCAAUGACCUGGGCAGUUCUGAGGACGACUCCUCUCAGCUGGUCACCCCGCAUGACACAGACAAUGACUCUCACCUGAGGGCGCUACAUGUGGACUUCAUUCCACAGCUUUUGAGUGAUGCUUCCAACAUCUGCCAUGUUCCAAAUAAGCAUCCUCAGGGGUAUUUUGCAUUUCCCGAGUUUCCAAAAGGGCCUUUAGGAUUUUACCACACUAGGACAGUAGGAGCCCUCUGUCAGGAUGCCAACCAAGUCGAGCAUCACCCUAGCAGCUGAGCAUCCGGUUUAACUGCAGCGUUGGCACUUUGUGAUAAAUUAGUGGGUUUUGGGUUGCAAUUUGGGCAGUCUAUAAAAGGUCUGCCAGGGCCGGGGAUUUAGCUCGGUGGUUCUGCCACUUGCCUUGCAAGCAGCAAGGACCCAAGUUCAAUCCCCAGUACCCACCCCACCCCACCCCCCAAAAAAAUCACAGCAAUUUUGGGGCCAGGGAUUUAGCUCAGUGGUUCCGCCGCCUGUCUUGCAACCACAAGGACCCAAGUUCAAUCCCUGGUACCAAAAAACAAAAAAGGUCUGCCAUCACUGGUUUAGGAAAACUUGAUUUUGAAUCUGUCUGCCUUUUUCUAGUACUAGAGAUAGAACCCAGGUUCUCACAUAGGCAAGCAAGUGUUCUAUCACUGAGCUACAUCCCCCGCUUUUUAUUUUUGAGCUAAGGACUCACUAAGAUCCCCAGGCUGGCUUCGAAAUUGUGAUCCUCAAGUAGCUAGGAUCACAGGGGUGCACACCACACCUAGAACCAAGUUAUUCUAGGAAGGCUACAAACAGAAGCUAAGGCCUUCAAAGUAGCCUACUCCACACAAUAUUCUCUCUCUCUCCCUCUCUCCCUCCCUCUCUCCCUCUCUCUCUCUCCCAUGAAUGCUUUCACCACUAUUUCUCUCGGUCACCUGUGAUAAACAUGUCACAAAUCCCAGGGCUAAGUGGCUGGUGCUUGUUUUAUGUACACAGAGUGAAGUAAAGGCUAAAUGACAUUUAGUCUAGCAACCAGCUUAUCCCUAAGGGGCCUCACAGGAAGUUCACCAACACCUUGAAGGUCUGUCACUUUCUGGAGGAUAAAUGACCUGGAUGGAGGGUUUCAGAACAUGAACUCAUGAGCCAGGCGUGGUGGUGCAUGCCUGUAAUCCCAGCACCAGGAGAAAAAAGAAAAUGAACUCAUGGCCUCAGUCCCUUUUGGCUCAGCUACUGGAUUUCUCCUGAGACUCAAAGUACAGAAAGACUCGAGGUUUUACAGAUGCCCGUCAGUGCUUCCACCUCUCCACCCCUAAAGCAGAGGGUCUCAACCUUGCUGCAUUCCAGAAUCUCCCAGAGAACUUUAAAAGAAAAACAAAUGGUUUCUAGGCUUGGUUUCUGUCUCCCAGAAAUGCUGACCUGGGCGAGGGUCAGACACAUCAGAGGUCAGGAGUUCCCCAGGUGACUAACGUGCAGCAGGGUGAGGACCAGGGCUGUAAAACCUCUUAAAGAAAUCAGAAGCAGCUCCACACCACAAAAAUAAAAAAUACUCUCAGGCCGGGGAUUUAGCUCAGUGGUUCCCGCCUGCCCUCGCAAGCGUAAGGUCCCAAGUUCGAUCCUUGGUACCAAAAAAAAAAAAAAAUGCUCUCAAGGAAGGAAGGAAACAAGUGAAGCAAACACUCAGCCCCCUGUCUUCUCCACACCCAGCCCUUUCCUUCUCGGCCUCCCUCCCAGGGCCCAGCUCUUCCGUCCGCUUAGGUACAGUCUGUACUUAACCGGAGCUUCUGGAGCCCCUUACCCCGGCCCUUUUAGUGGUGGCUCCCAUAGCACCCACUGCUCACAUCAUCUGCCAGUGUUCUCGGAGGUGACCAAGGAAGAAUGGUUACACCCAUUUUACACCUGAGGACAAGAGUCUCGAAGGAUACAGGCCUUAUCUGGGGUGGAAGACAGCCACACCACUCCCCUGGGUUCGCUCCCAAGCCAGUUUCUCUCCUGGCACUUUCCCUCAUAAGGAAGCUCCAACGGAUUGCUAAAACCAGGGGACUUUCCUGGAUCUCCACCACCAUGUUACUUCUCUGCUCUGGAACCUUCCAUGGCUCCCACUGACCAUAGGAUAAACACAACCCGCCUUGUUCAGCUUUAACAUUCUUCUGCUUCCUGAGCAAAAUGACAUAACCCUUUCUUGCUAUUCAAACCCUUCUGCAUCAGACUCUACAUUUCAAAUAUCCUUGUCAUUUCUCUCCUUCUGAUGUUUGCUACUUGUUCAAAAAUCUGGGAAGCCCAGAUUUUUAAAUAUAUUAUUACUAUUCCAUCCUAUAUCCAUCUGUUUGGAGAAGGAGGAGUCUCUCCAACUGGAUUAAGCUCUUCAGGGGCUAGAAUCACACAUCUCUUCAUGGCCCAGACAGCCCCCAGCAGAACGUGAGGCCAGCGGCACAGUAAACACCUGCUGGUGGGCAUUUGUGGGUGGGGCACUCGCACCCUUGGGAGGGAGGAAGCCUGUGCAACCAGGCAGUCAAACAGCCUCCCAAGAAAAUCUUAACAAGCAUACAAUGUAUGCCCCGGAUGUAGCUCUCUAGCAGAGCUGAUGUGCAAAAUCACAGGGUCACAGGGCAAACAGUGACGGCACACAAGCCACAGCAGCAGCAAUGCCUUCAAGGACAGCAAGGUUUCUGAGGAAACUCUCAGAACAGAGUCGGCCCGCAGGACUUCUGCUCAGCCCUCUGGCCACCUACCUAGCUGGACACAGUCUUUAACAUGUAACUUAGAAUGAAUGAUUACAGCUGUACACUCCGGUGCAUGUCUGUAAUUCCAUCACUCUGGGAGGCUAAGGCAGGAAUCCGGGCUCAAGUCGGGCCGGGGGAACUUAGCGGCACCUUGUCUCAAAAUAAAAUAUGUAGCUUGGUGCGAAGGUCUUGAGUUCAAACCCCAGUACCACCCCCCCCCAAAAGAAUUAAUGAUUAUUCCUUGCUCUGCUAAAUAUUCAUUAUUUGUCAUUGUUUUAUCUGUAGAUUUUCAGUGUUAGAACCUAUCUUUGACCUAUUGCGAUUAUUGUACGCCCAAUAAUGUACAAAAACUGCCCACAAACAAAUGAAAAUAUUAAGGGUUUUAAGAGGCAUCUGAAGAACUGCCUCUACCUUAACAUAAAUUCCGCCAGGUAAGUGAAGCCAAGCACAUCUCCUUUCCAACCACAAGAAGUAAAUUUACAAAUCUAAUGGACUGGA